CCCCGUUGCCAACAGGAUGGACAACUACAAGGUAAUAAAGAGGCUUGGCAAGGGUGCCCAAGGUGCCGUCUUUCUGGUGGAGCACAAGCAGCAGAAUAAGCAGUAUGUCCUCAAAAAGGUUGAGUGCAAUGAUGAAAGUGAGGCAAACAAGGCUUUCAUGGAGG